rnacentral:sRNA from 1 species
AGACGGUGGGCACGCAGCCGGUACGAA